rnacentral:rRNA from 1 species
AUUGAACGCUGGCGGCAGGCCUAACACAUGCAAGUCGAACGAGUGGCGGACGGGUGAGUAAUGUCUGGGAAACUGCCUGAUGGAGGGGGCUAACUACUGGAAACGGUAGCUAAUACCGCAUACCAUCGGAUGUGCCCAGAUGGGAUUGGCUAGUAGGUGGGGUAAAGGCUCACCUAGGCGACGAUCCCUAGCUGGUCUGAGAGGAUGACCAGCACCACUGGAACGUGGACACGGUCCAGAGUCCGACGGGAGGCAGCAGUGGGGAAUAUUGCACAAUGGGUGCAAGCCUGAUGCAGCCAAGCGGGGUGUAUGAAGAAGGCCUUCGGGUUGUAAAGUACUUUCAGCGGGGAGGCGUGACCCGCAGAAGAAGCACCGGCUAACUCCGUGCCAGCAGCCGCGGUAAUUC